GACGCCGCGUGUACGAUGAAGGCCCUUGGGUCGUAAAGUACUGUCAACUGAGACGAAAACCUGGAGGUGAAUAGCCUUUGGGCUUGACGGUAUCAGUGAAGGAAGCACCGGCUAACUCUGUGCCAGCAGCCGCGGUAGUACAGAGGGUGCAAACGUUGCUCGGAAUGACUGGGCGUAAAGCGCGCGUAGGCGGUGGGUUAAGUCGAAUGUGAAAGCCCAUGGCUCAACCAUGGAAGCGCAUUCGAAACUGGCUCACUGGAGUCCCGGAGAGGGUGGUGGAAUUCCUAGUGUAGAGGUGAAAUUCGUAGAGAUUAGGAGGAACACCGGUGGCGAAGGCGACCAUCUGGACGGGUACUGACGCUGAGGCGCGAAAGCGUGGGGAGCAAACAGGAUUAGAUACCCUGGUAGUCCACGCCGUAAACGAUGAGGACUGGGUGUUGCGGGUAUUGACCCCUGCAGUGCCGUAGCUAACGCAUUAAGUUCUCCGCCUGGGGACUACG
rnacentral:rRNA from 1 species